UACAGAGGGGGGCAAGCGUUUAUUCGGAAUUAUUGGGCGUAAAGGGCGCGUAGGCGGCUUGGCAAGUGGAUGGUGAAAUCCCUCGGCUUUAAACCGAGGAACUGCCGUCCAAACUGCUUCGCUUGAGACCGGGGAGAGGUGAGUGGAAUUCCCAGUGUAGCGGUGAAAUGCGUAGAUAUUGGGAGGAACACCAGUGGCGAAGGCGGCUCACUGGACCGGUACUGACGCUGAUGCGCGAAAACGUGGGGAGCAAACGGGG
rnacentral:rRNA from 1 species